rnacentral:tRNA from 1 species
GCCCCUGUAGCUCAGUUGGUAGAGCGCGGCACUUGUAAUGCCGUUGUCGUCGGUUCGACUCCGUCCGGGGGCU